rfam:Candida auris strain 6684 Scaffold38, whole genome shotgun sequence.
GCCCGGCUAGCUCAAUGGCUAGAGCGUGAGACUUUUAAUCUCAAGGUUGCGGGUUCGACCCCCGCGUCGGGCU